AUUGAACGCUGGCGGAAUGCUUUACACAUGCAAGUCGAGCGGCAGCACGGGGGCAACCCUGGUGGCGAGCGGCGAACGGGUGAGUAAUACAUCGGAACAUGCCCAGUCGUGGGGGAUAACACUUCGAAAGAAGUGCUAAUACCGCAUACGUCCUGAGGGAGAAAGCGGGGGAUCUUCGGACGCCGCGCGAUUGGAGUGGCCGAUGUCAGAUUAGCUAGUUGGUGGGGUAAAGGCCUACCAAGGCAACGAUCUGUAGCUGGUCUGAGCGGAUGAUCAGCCACACUGGGACUGAGACACGGCCCAGACUCCUACGGGAGGCAGCAGUGGGGAAUUUUGGACAAUGGGGGCAACCCUGAUCCAGCCAUUCCGCGUGAGUGAAGAAGGCCUUCGGGUUGUAAAGCUCUUUCGGCAGGAACGAAACGGCGAGCUCUAACAUAGCUUGCUAAUGACGGUACCUGAAGAAGAAGCACCGGCUAACUACGUGCCAGCAGCCGCCGUAACAC
rnacentral:rRNA from 1 species